GUAAAAUUAUCUGGUAUUGGACUAAGACAACAAAGUAGGGCACAGUGCCCCUUAAUUAAUCACUUAUAAUAAAGGUUUAAAUGCUGAAUUUUUUGAAAGUGCCAGAGUGGCAACUGGCAGGCUAUAUACUGAAAAGGUAUAGGUUGUGCACAUGCAUCCUAAAUAAACACUGCUACAAAAACUUGGUAGUUAACAGUUAAAAGUUAAAACCAAUUCAUUAUUUCAAAGUAUAUAAAACAAAACAAGUCGGGAAAAUGAUUUUGAACCCAAGAUAUGAGACAAAAUUACAGUAUGAGAAUGAGUUUGAAUAUAAAGAACAACAAAAACGAGGAUACAAAACUACUGUGAUAUUGUUGAAAUUAGCAAUAUUACAUUUACACAUUUGCUGUUUAUAACUGUAGUUUUUGACAUAAUGUAUUUAUGCUUUUCCAUCGAAAUGGCAAGCCAAAUUUGCCCCAAGCAGCCCAAGCUUUG